AAGCGGAGGAAAAAGAAACCAACAGGGAUUGCCCUAGUAACGGCGAGUGAAGCGGCAACAGCUCAAAUUUGAAAUCUGGCUCCUUCGGGGUCCGAGUUGUAAUUUGCAGAAGAGUCUUCUGGUGUGGCCCCGGUCUAAGUCCCUUGGCACAGGACGUCAUAGAGGGUGAGAACCCCGUAUGUGACCGGUGGCCUAUGCCUCUGUGAAGCUCUUUCAACGAGUCGAGUUGUUUGGGAAUGCAGCUCAAAUUGGGUGGUAUAUUCCAUCUAAAGCUAAAUAUUGGCCAGAGACCGAUAGCGCACAAGUAGAGUGAUCGAAAGAUGAAAAGCACUUUGAAAAGAGAGUUAAAUAGUACGUGAAAUUGUUAAAAGGGAAGCUCUUGCUACCAGACGCGGGCGCCGUUGAUCAUCCUAGGUUCUCCUGGGUGCACUCGGCGGUGCUCGGGUCAGCAUCGGUUUGGGUGGUGGGACAAAGGCCUUGGGAAUGUAGCUCCCCUUCGGGGGAGUAUUAUAGCCCUCGGUGUAAUGCCACCUACCCGGACCGAGGACCGCGCUUCGGCGAGGAUGCUGGCAUAAUGGUCGUAAGCGGCCCGUCUUGAAACACGGACCAAGGAGUCUAACAUCUAUGCGAGUGUUUGGGUGGUAAACCCAUUCGCGGAAUGAAAGUGAACGCAGCUGAGAACCCUUCGGGGCGCACCAGCGACCGAUCCUGAUGUCUUCGGACGGAUUUGAGUAUGAGCAUAGCUGUUGGGACCCGAAAGAUGGUGAACUAUGCUUGCAUAGGGUGAAGCCAGAGGAAACUCUGGUGGAGGCUCGCAGCGGUUCUGACGUGCAAUCGAUCGUCAAUGUGGGCAUAGGGGCGAAAGACUAAUCGAACCAUCUA
rnacentral:rRNA from 1 species